GGGUUCGUGGCGCAGCGGUAGCGCGUGUGAUUCCAGUUGUUUGCGUCUCUGGACGCUUUCAGUCUGACUCCACAAGGUCAUCAGUUCAAAUCUGGUCGAGCUCA